rnacentral:rRNA from 1 species
CUCUGUUAAAAUACCCUGAACACACAUGAACUUGACUGAGUUUGGAAGCUAACCAGGGUCAGGCCUGGAUAGUACUUGGAUGGGGGACAGCCAGAAAUUUGAACACACCUGAACUUGACUGAGU